UAACGGGUUCAGUGGUUCCAGUUUGGUC
rnacentral:sRNA from 1 species